UACGAAGGGGGCUAGCGUUGUUCGGAAUUACUGGGCGUAAAGCGCACGUAGGCGGAUUUGUAAGUCGGGGGUGAGAUCCCGGGGCUCAACCUCGGAACUGCCUUUGAUACUGUUGGUCUCGAGUCCGAGAGAGGUGGGUGGAAUUCCUAGUGUAGAGGUGAAAUUCGUAGAUAUUAGGAAGAACACCGGUGGCGAAGGCGGCCCACUGGCUCGGUACUGACGCUGAGGUGCGAAAGCGUGGGGAGCAAACAGG
rnacentral:rRNA from 1 species